GGGGUCGACCGGUUUUGACAGUAAGUGUGGAUAUUGUACUUGCAUGUCGGGUGUUGAGUAAGCACACGUGAUCAAUUUACUCAUAUUCUAUUUGGCGAAUCUAAUUACGCCAUGGCUGCUUAAUUUUUGCUGAUAGCAAAAAUUAUUAAUCCCGAUUAAGAAUCGGGACAGACACAUCCCUCCAUGCUUUUGUCUUAUGAGCAGGAUCAAGGGGUGUCACCCAGUAAGACUAGCCUGAGGCGAAGUUGCUAACCAAUGGCGAAGCUAAAGUAACUGGUAGGAAAAGUGGGUUGUUGAACGCCAGCUCUCCUACGAGAUCCUAAGUUUCAACUAUGCAUGUAGACGGUCCAAUAUGACCUUAUCUGGACGAGGGUUCGAUUCCCUCCGACUCCACAA
rfam:Reichenbachiella faecimaris strain DSM 26133 genome assembly, contig: Ga0069982_15